rnacentral:lncRNA from 12 species
GCUGCACCAUGGUGCAGUUGUGUAAAAUCUAGAAUGGGACAGGUGCGCUCAGGUGAGCUCAGGUGUGCACAGGUGAGCUCAGGUGAGCUCAGGUGUGCACAGGUGAGUCACCCCUGGAUGUCCAGCAGUGCGUCCUUGAUCAGCCCCUGGCGGAUGCCCAGGUGCACCAUGGUGCGGUUGUGUAAAAUCUAGAAUGGGACAGGUGCGCUCAGGUGAGCUCAGGUGUGCACAGGUGAGGUGUGAGACUGGAGGUGCAGAUGCCCAGCUGCACCAUCGUGCGGUUGUGUAAAAUCUAGAAUGGGACAGGUGCGCUCAGGUGAGCUCAGGUGUGCACAGGUGAGGUGUGAGACUGGAGGUGCAGAUGCCCAGCUGCACCAUCGUGCGGUUGUGUAAAAUCUAGAAUGGGACAGGUGCGCUCAGGUGAGCUCAGGUGUGCACAGGUGAGGUGUGAGACUGGAGGUGCAGAUGCCCAGCUGCACCAUCGUGCGGUUGUGUAAAAUCUAGAAUGGGACAGGUGCGCUCAGGUGAGCUCAGGUGUGCACAGGUGAGGUGUGAGACUGGAGGUGCAGAUGCCCAGCUGCACCAUCGUGCGGUUGUGUAAAAUCUAGAAUGGGACAGGUGCGCUCAGGUGAGCUCAGGUGUGCACAGGUGAGGUGUGAGACUGGAGGUGCAGAUGCCCAGCUGCACCAUCGUGCGGUUGUGUAAAAUCUAGAAUGGGACAGGUGCGCUCAGGUGAGCUCAGGUGUGCACAGGUGAGGUGUGAGACUGGAGGUGCAGAUGCCCAGCUGCACCAUCGUGCGGUUGUGUAAAAUCUAGAAUGGGACAGGUGCGCUCAGGUGAGCUCAGGUGUGCACAGGUGAGGUGUGAGACUGGAGGUGCAGAUGCCCAGCUGCACCAUCGUGCGGUUGUGUAAAAUCUAGAAUGGGACAGGUGCGCUCAGGUGAGCUCAGGUGUGCACAGGUGAGGUGUGAGACUGGAGGUGCAGAUGCCCAGCUGCACCAUCGUGCGGUUGUGUAAAAUCUAGAAUGGGACAGGUGCGCUCAGGUGAGCUCAGGUGUGCACAGGUGAGGUGUGAGACUGGAGGUGCAGAUGCCCAGCUGCACCAUCGUGCGGUUGUGUAAAAUCUAGAAUGGGACAGGUGCGCUCAGGUGAGCU